ensembl:snRNA U6 U6 spliceosomal RNA
GUGCUCACUUCGGCAGCAUGUAUACUAAAGGUGGAACGAUACAGAGAUGAGCGUGGCCCCUGCACAAGGACGGCAGACAAAUCUGGGAAGCAUUCCGUAUUUAA